rfam:Gossypium raimondii chromosome 4, whole genome shotgun sequence.
CACGUCAGCGCGAUUUGCUGACGUGACAGCAAAUUGCGUCCUAGAGGGUGCGAUUUCCUGGCACGUCCCCUGACAUCGCGCGGACGUGG